rnacentral:tRNA from 1 species
GGCCUCAUAGCUCAGUUGACUAGAGCGUUGGUGGUACUAAACCCUUCCCCUUGCAGGCAUGGGUUCGAAUCCCACCGAGGCCG